rnacentral:rRNA from 1 species
GCCUGUUUUUACAAAAACAUCGCUCCUUGCAUAGAACAAAUAAGGAGUCGGACCUGCCCAGUGAAUUUUUAACGGCCGCGGUACUCUGACCGUGCAAAGGUAGCAUAAUAAUUUGCCUUAUAAUUGAAGGCUGGUAUGAAUGGUUUGACGAGAAUAAAGCUGUCUCUUUACAACUUACUAGAAAUUUAUUUACGGGUGAAAAAGCCCGCAUACUAUUAAAAGACAAGAAGACCCUAUCGAGCUUUAAAAAAUUUAGUAGACAAAUAAGCUAAUUAAGAUUAAAAAGUUAUCCAUUAAAUAUUUUAGUUGGGGCGACUGAGGAACAGGUAAAGCUUCCUUAAAAAAGUUUCUACCUAUUGGUUUUGAUCCAAAAAUUUUUGAUUAAUAAAAUUAGUUACCGUAGGGAUAACAGCAUUAUCUUUUUUAAGAGCUCUUAUCGAAAAAAAGGUUUGUGACCUCGAUGUUGGACCAGAAUGUCCUAAAGAUGCAGCAGUCUUUAAGGGUUGGUCUGUUCGACCAUUAAUAUUCUACGUGAUCUGGUUCCA